rnacentral:rRNA from 1 species
UACAGAGGGGGCAAGCGUUGUUCGGAAUUACUGGGCGUAAAGGGCGCGUAGGUGGCCUUCUAAGUUGAACGUGAAAUCCCUGGGCUCAACCCAGGAACUGCGUCCAAGACUGGGAGGCUUGAAUCCGGGAGAGGGAUGCGGAAUUCCAGGUGUAGCGGUGAAAUGCGUAGAUAUCUGGAGGAGCACCGGUGGCGAAGGCGGCAUCCUGGACCGGUAUUGACACUGAGGCGCGAAAGCCAGGGGAGCAAACGGG